rnacentral:sRNA from 1 species
AGUGCGAUCGUGAAAGUGAUUGUGCAUCCCUGUCUAUCGAUAUGCAAAGACAAAACAUAUGUUUGAAAAGCAUAUGAUGAAAAGGCAGAGUGCAAUUAAUUGCAAAAGUUGCAACUGAAAGAGAUAACAAUUUCUCCCAAGUGCAAGUGAACGUGUGUUCGACAGGCCGAAGAAGGAAUCAUCCGGUGGAACGAGAGGUAGCAGCUGAGAAGACUCCACAUCCCAAUCACCGAGCAGUGCCGCCAGUUUUGUUAAGUUGAUUGUGUAGUUUAAGCCAGUGCAUUGUAGUGUUGUUUUGCUGCAUGUGUGUAUGUGCAUACGUGCCAAAUAAAACUUUUAAUUGAAUAUAAAAUUCAAUUUGAGUUUUAUUUGUUAGGAUAUCCUUUGCAGAUAGGAUAUGUGAGGACGACCAGUUUCCAGGUAAGUUGCUUGCAUAUACCAAUGGCCAAUUUGAAUUUUAAUGUAGAUUAAUGUUCUUUUUUAGCGUAUAUGCUUGCAAUCAGUUGCUGGGGAAGGACCAGCCUGCAUCGGCCGAAGAAUCUCCUGGA